CCAAAGUGCUUCAAGCCUCUGCACAUUGUAAUCGCAACAAUCAGAAGGCGACGACUUGGGUAAAUCAGUUAAUCCAUUAUCACGAUAAGCUCUCCAUAAAUAUUUCGUUAGCCAUGAAGAGAAGAGUGUCGAGCAUAAACCAGCAUUGUCGACUGAAGCAUUAUCUGUUUCUGAUUCUACUCGCCUUCUAAAUGUUGGCUGUUAUAGCCUCGAUUAUUGGGAGAGUAUCCAGGCCUGAAGUUGUUGGCUAAACCACCGCAGAAGUUGCCAAUUCCUCCCAGGGACAUACCACCACCUCCACCGCCAGAUGAACCCGAUGAGUUGAGGAAUAGUUCAAUGUAUCUGUGAGACAUGUGACUCUUAUCCUGAAAGUAAAUGCACAAAGACCAAUUGAUUUUAAAAAUAAAAUAAAAUUACUAUUAUUAUUAUUA